GACGAACGCUGGCGGCGUGCUUAACACAUGCAAGUCGAACGAGUGGCGAACGGGUGAGUAAUACGUUGUAACCUGCCCUCCUUUUUGGGAUAAGCCUUGGAAACGGGGUCUAAUACCGAGUAUAGGGGGAUGGGCUCGCGGCGUAUGUGCUUGUUGGGGGGGUGAUGGCCUACCAAGGCGACGAUCAGUAGCGGGUCUGAGAGGAUGAACCGCCACACUGCGACUGAGACACGGCCCAGACUCCUACGGGAGGCAGCAGUGGGAAAUUUUGGACAAUAGGCGCAAGCCUGAUCCAGCCAUGCCGCGUGUCUGAAGAAGGCCUUCGGGUUAUAAAGGACUUUUGUUAGGGAAGCGGUACCUAAAGAAUAAGCACCGGCUAACUACGUGCCAGCAGCCGCGGUAAUAC
rnacentral:rRNA from 1 species